GAUGAACGCUGGCGGCGUGCCUAAUACAUGCAAGUCGAGCGAACAGACGAGGAGCUUGCUCCUCUGACGUUAGCGGCGGACGGGUGAGUAACACGUGGAUAACCUACCUAUAAGACUGGGAUAACUUCGGGAAACCGGAUCUUAUACGGGAUAAGAUAUUGAAACAUGGGGUUCAAUAGUGAAAUACGGCUUUUGGGGCAGGUAUAGAUGCAUCCGGGCUGCAUUAGCUAGUUGGUAAGGUAAAGGCUUACCAAGGGAACGAUGCGUGGGCGAGCUGAGAGGGUGAUCGGCCACACUGGAACUGAGCCACGGUCCAGACUCCUACGGGAGGCAGCAGUAGGGAAUCUUCCGCAAUGGGCGGAAGCCUUACGGAGCAACGCCGCGUGAGUGAUGAAGGUCUUCGGAUCGUAAAACUCUGUUAUUAGUGAAGAACAAAUGUGUAAGUAACUAUGCACGUCUUGACGGUACCUAAUCAGAAAGCCACGGCUAACUACGUG
rnacentral:rRNA from 1 species